AUGUGCCCAGGGAGGGUGACCAGAAGCCCUCCCCACACCCCAUGUUCCUCAGGAUGGCCCCGGCCUGCCCCUUUGCCUCCCUCCUUGCCAGAAGAUGAAGGAGAGGCGGUCGAUCUUCUCAAUGCUCCGUGGGAGCCAUGCGCAGACGGGCUGGUUACCAAGCUGGGGCAGUGUUGCAAGACGCCUCAUACGCCUGCAGGAGGAGAGGAGGUGAUGACCCGGAGCCAGCUUCCAGCCCUGGGUGGCUGCCCUCCCCUAGGGAUCUCUAGCACAGCCAAGGGAGCAGGGAUGGAAACAGGAUACAAAAGGAAAACCCACCUGAGGUCUAGAUUGGGACUCAUCACCCAGGGCCUGCCUCGGCCAUGCAGGUACCUUCCCAGAACCAGGGUCCCUCCCCUGCCUGCAAGACAGUGGCUGUGUGCAGAGCAAGCUGCAAGGGGCCUGAAGGGGGAGGGGUACCUUGUGUUCCUGUCCUGGUCUCGGAUUCUUCUUUUCCAUCUCAGCGGUCUGUCAGAGUCUCCAGCAGUGGGCACCAUUGGUCAGCAUCGCCUGUGUUCCGGAUGGCAAAUCUCCACCGUGGGGCUGCACCUGUCUCUCGAGGCCCAGCACCCCCAGAAGGCUGACCCUGCUCCACUGCAGCCCUAUCAAGUGUCUGCCCACCUCAGCCUGGAGCCCUGCACAGCACAGUUCCCUCUGAGAAGAGUGAAGGCAGGCAGGGCCCAGGGGGAGGCAUGGGAGGACACUGACAGAAUAAAAGAGGAUGGACCCCUGAUCUGUGGCCCUUGCUUCUGGUACCUCAUUUGGAAAAUAGGAACAAUUACAGGGCUGUGAGGGCUCUUCAGAGGAUUACUAUAUUUAAAACAGCCAACAUAUGUCCACUGAGGGGGCUCCCUAGGUGCCAGGAGCCUUGUCACGCAGUCUCCCUGGAACUUGUGCCCAAGGUUGUGUGAGUGGCCAGCUAGAGAGGGAUGUCCACCCAGGCAUGACAGGAGGCUGUGCCCCCUCACACUGCCAGCUGGCACACAGCAGCUGAGGGCCUGUUCUGGCUUCCCUGUGUGCUAGUGUUCUCAUCCUGAUUCUCAAGGACCGGGAGCAGACAGGGCCCAGCCUGGUGCAUGCACUAAGGCUGUCACCACAACCCAGAACUGCCCCUGGCUCCCCUGCAGAAGCAGGGCUCACUUCUUCCUGCUGAGCUAGGUCCCCCAACCCCAAGCUUGUGCUGGUGACUCAGAGGCUAGUGACAAGAGCAGCACCAGCCCCCACACGUGGUACCCUGGGGCCAACCCUCCUCAGCCGCUCCUGAGAGCUCUUCUCCAGCCAGUGUGGUGUUUGGCAAUCCUGAAACCACCCAGCCACAGACCCAAACAUCAUUCCUCACCUCAAGGGCUCCCAGCCACCUUCCUUGGGAGGGCAGACAUGAAAGGCGCCAAGCCACGCUGAGGGAAGCAAAACAUGUUUUCCUCUUAAUUUAAACAAGGGCUUGUGAGUAGGUCCUGGAGGCCCCUUUGUUUACCUUCCCUUGGCUCUGGGAAGAUUCCACUCCAGUGGGUUUGUUCUAAAAUAAGAACUGCUCAAUCCAACCAUGUAAGAAAUGGGCCGAGAGCCAGCCAGGGCUCUCGGGUUUGGGACAAACACACAGGCAGGGGUCGCCUUGCCUCCCCCCUCCUUUGAGGGGAUUCUGCAUCAUGGACUUCAAGGCUCCCUGUGAUCCCAGAUGUUCCUACCACCCUGCAGAGUCCAGGUGGGGACACAGAGCCCAGAAUGGGAGGGCUGUGGCGGAGAUGUCAGGGGGCCCAGGGCCGUAGCUUUUAGGGGUAUCUCAGUAUGGGCUCACUUUUAUGCCCUCACAUGAUACAAAUGCCAGCCAAGAACCACUGCUCUACUCACUUUACAAAUGAGAAGGACAGAGCCUUCAAGGGAAAUGACCUACCUGCCCAUGGCCACUCCACUGGGAGGGAGGGAGAGAGAGAACUCAACAGCACCCUCCUCUUUAUGGCCAACUGGCUUUUGACAAGGGUACCCAAAGUCCAUACAAUGGGGAAAGACCAGUCUUUCCAACAAAUGAGCACUGGGACAAGAUGACCUUGGAUUAGGCAGAGGUUCUGUAGGUAUCAUAUUAAAAAGCACAGGCAGGGGGUGCCUGGCUGGCUCAGUCGGGACAGCAUAGGACUCUUGAUGUCAGGGUUGUUGAGUUCGAGCCCUACCCUGGGUGUAGAGAUGACUUAAAAUCUUAAAAAAAAAAAUUUUUUUUAAAGCACAGGCAACCAAAGAAAAAAUAAAGUGGACUACAACCAAAAUUUAAAGCUUCUGUGCUUCAAGGGACACUGUCAUGAAAGUGAAAAGACAAGCUACAACGUGGUAGAAAGUAUUUGUAAACCGUACCUCUGAUAGGAACUUAUACCUACAAUAUGUAAAGAACACUUACAACUCAAUAAUAAAAAUACAAAUAGCCCAAUUAAAAACUGAGGGACCUGAGCAGCUAUUUUUCUAAAGAUGAUAUACAAAUGCCCAAAGGCACCUGAGAAGAUGCUCCAUCAUCAUUUGUCAGUGGGGAAAUGCAAAUCACGACCCCAACGAGAUGCCACUCCCUCCCCCUCCCCCACUAGGAUGGCGAGAAUCAAAAAGUCAGGUUAACAGGGGUGCCUGUGUGGUUCAGUCGGUUAAGCGUCCAACUUCAGCUCAGGUCAUGAUCUCAUGCUUCAUGGGU
ensembl:lncRNA